CAGCACCCUCACUUUCGCAACUCACCCUAACCCUAACUCACCUUCGCCACGCACCCAUUCACACACACACCCAGAUCCGAGUGAAUGAGUGAACCAGAGGGAGGAGAGGAGGAAGACAGAGAUGAGAGCGCGAGCGAGAGACCAGAGAGUGAGAGGGGGUCACCGCCGCAACGCCGCUGCAGCCGCCGCCAUCACCGUCGUGGAGGAGGGAGUCCAGAGGAGAGAGAGAGAAAGAUGAUUCGCAGACUAAAUGGAGAGAAAGGAUGAAGACACGACGCGAGAGAGAAGGAGGCUGUUCCGCCGUGCACUAUGGUCGCUCCUGGGGUCAAUUGAAGCCGCCGCCGCUGCUAGGGCUUGCCGUGCUCCUGUCCUCACUUUCGGCUUCUACGAUUUACUUCCUGCGUUUCAUCAGUGCCGUUUUCGACGCCAAGGGUGCGGAUGCAAUUCUCUCCUUUGAAAAGUUCUGCUGCAAUCUCCCCAGACCUCUUCUUCAGAUCAUAUAUGAUUAAUGUGAAUGAAGAACACUAGGUUGAGUUAAAUUGAAUUGAAUCAUGGAUAAGACAUAAGAGCAUGUUAGCUGGUUUGGAAUCACUUCCAGAAGCUUAUCAGCAAAGAAUAGUGUCCAUGAUGGAACAAGUUAGCUGGGUUAAUUCAUCAAUAAGAAUGGCUUUGCAUGGUUGCUAUUGUCACCAUAUAAAGUUGACAAAUCAUAGAAGAACACCAAACUCCUUCAGCUUCUCAUCCUAUAUUUCGAAUCCCAAGUUUCCAAAGAAUAAAAGGGGACAGCGUGAUUCAUCAGAGAAUGAUGCAUAUCCCAGGUUCCUGGUUGUAAUGCGUCAGACAGAAUUGCCUGCAUCAAAUUAAAAGUAUGGUACCAAUGGAAAAGCUGUUAGAAUGGUAUCCUCAAGUGAGGUAGUGAAGAGAAGCACACUGUCAGAUAAUAAGGUGAAGACAGUGAAUGGUGCAAAACAAAAUGUUAAUGGAGCAACAACUAUUGUAAAAAGAGAUGUUAACCCACCCUUGACCAAGGCAGUGAAAUCAAGAACCUCUGAAGAACUUCCACCGCUGGAGGAGCUCAAGGUUUUGCAGCUUGGUCCAACU